GAUGAAGAACGUAGCGAAAUGCGAUAAGUAAUGUGAAUUGCAGAAUUCAGUGAAUCAUCGAAUCUUUGAACGCACCUUGCACCCUUUGGCAUUCCGAAGGGUAUGCUCGUUUGAGUGUCAUUGUACUCUCACACUCCCGAUGCUUUUGGAUCGGGAGCGGUGGACUUGGGUGUUGCUGCUUUACUGUGGCUCGCCUCAAAUGGAGUAGUGCAACUCUUGGUUGGACAUAGUACGGCGUGAUAAGUGUCUUCGCCGGCGCCUCACUUUGUUGAGGGUGGCCGAUCGGGAGCUCUGUGCUUCAAACCGUCUUCGGACAACAACUGACAACUUGACCUCAAAUCGAGUAGGACUACCCGCUGAACUUAAGCAUAUCAAUAAGCGGAGGA
rnacentral:misc_RNA from 1 species